UCGAGUUAAUCGAAUUAACCCAUGUCCAAAACCAUGUCGUUUUGCGGAAACAAAUAGUAAAACUUAAACACAAGUUGCUCUUUCAUUUCACUCCCAUUUCCCAAAACCAAAAUCGAAUCCUAAACUCUCCCUUAAUAUUCACCUUUAAUAUUGAAAAUAUAAUGUGAGUAAAGUAUUCUUAAUCUCUCAGCUACCGCCCCCUCUCUUUGGACCAAGGCUGCUUGCCCUUCCAGCCGCUCUCUCAAUCUGCAAGAGAUCUUUUCUUAUUUCCAUUUUCUUUCUUGUGAGAUCGAGCGUAGGGUAAGCUGUGAUUUUAUAGCUCCAUCAUCGAUCACCUUCGCUCAUCUCCGGCGAACGUAGUGCACCAACCACCAGGAGCUUGAGAGGAAGGAAAAAAAAAAGAAGACUUGAUAUGUUGAAGGUUGAAGCUAAAUUUGAGUUAUUGUUGUUUGAGCUAAAUAUGUAUUUGUUAUUUGAGUUAUUGUUGUUUGAGCUAAAUAUGCAUUUGUUUUGACAAUUUAUUUUAUUUUAUUUUUUUUUUAAGUUGAUUAGUUCUGUUUUCACCAUCUGAAUGUUCCUUAAGUUAAAUUUGUAUAGCGAAGAAGUUGGGUUGAUUCGGUUAAAGUCAGUUAAUAUU